GUGGGGAAUCUUGCGCAAUGCGCGAAAGCGUGACGCAGCAACGCCGCGUGAGGGAAGACGGCUUUCGGGUUGUAAACCUCUUUCAGUUGGGACGAAGCUCCGUCGGUGAAUAGCCGGCUGGAGUGACGGUACCUUCAGAAGAAGCCCCGGCUAACUACGUGCCAGCAGCCGCGGUAAUACGUAGGGGGCAAGCGUUGUCCGGAAUCAUUGGGCGUAAAGCGCGUGUAGGCGGCUCAGUAAGUCCGCUCUGAAAGUCCGGGGCUCAACCCCGGGAGGCGGGUGGAUACUGCUGGGCUAGAGUCCGGAAGAGGCGAGUGGAAUUCCUGGUGUAGCGGUGAAAUGCGCAGAUAUCAGGAGGAACACCUAUUGCGAAGGCAGCUCGCUGGGACGGUACUGACGCUGAGACGCGAAAGCGUGGGGAGCAAACAGGAUUAGAAACCCGGGUAGUCC
rnacentral:rRNA from 1 species